CCCUUCAUAGCUCAACGGUAGAGCGUCCGGCUGUAGCCCGGAAUACCCAAGUUCGACUCUCGGUGAAGGGA
rnacentral:tRNA from 1 species